rnacentral:rRNA from 1 species
GACGAACGCUGGCGGCGUGCUUAACACAUGCAAGUCGAACGAAGAGCGAUGGAAGCUUGCUUCUAUCAAUCUUAGUGGCGCACGGGUGAGUAACGCGUAAUCAACCUGCCCUUCAGAGGGGGACAACAGUUGGAAACGACUGCUAAUACCGCAUACGAUCUAACCUCGGCAUCGAGGAUAGAUGAAAGGUGGCCUCUACAUGUAAGCUAUCACUGAAGGAGGGGAUUGCGUCUGAUUAGCUAGUUGGUGGGGUAACGGCCCACCAAGGCGAUGAUCAGUAGCCGGUCUGGGAGGAUGAACGGCCACAUUGGGACUGAGACACGGCCCAGACUCCUACGGGAGGCAGCAGUGGGGAAUCUUCCGCAAUGGACGAAAGUCUGACGGAGCAACGCCGCGUGAGUGAUGACGGCCUUCGGGUUGUAAAGCUCUGUUAAUCGGGACGAAAGGCCUUCUUGCGAAUAGUGAGAAGGAUUGACGGUACCGGAAUAGAAAGCCACGGCUAACUACGUG